CAUCAUUGCAUUCAUAAGCUUUAUUCCCAUCAGGUAAUGUAAUGUUUAGAGCAGUACAUUCAGCUGGCCUAUCCAGCGUGUUGGUUUUCUUAGCCAUCCAGGCUUCUUCUUGCAUGGUUCUCUUUACUUUUAUACAGCUGGUACAAAAAUACAAUGUCAUAACCUUGUCUGUAAUACAGAGAACACCAACAGUGAGCUGUUCUACACACUAUCAAUUACCAACUAACAGCAUUUGAGAUGUGUUGCUGAACACCUGUGUCCCCACUGCAAUUCAUACUAUUAAAGGGGAACUGCCACAUCCCAAUUUUUCUUUUUUCAUAUUAUGUUUACUUAUACCUGUAUAUGACCAAUAUGUAUUUUUAAAGGGGUGAAAAAAAAAAAAGUUAAAUGUAGAAUGCCGUCAACUUGGUGCCUCCAUUUUGGCUUCCUGUCAUUCAUUUUAUUAGCUCUGUCUUAUACACCUGGCAGUCAGCAUAUAGAAAGCAUAAAGAUAGGAAAUUAAACAAUAUUUCAGCUUAGCCUUUCCGUUCCUAAACAAGAUAAUUACACAGUUGGCUAAAUCUUUAAUAUAAAUGUAAAAUAAAAUAAAUACUUCUCAUGAAAAAUGAUUUACACAAGUCAGUAGCGGAACUAACGUACGUAUAAGAAUUCUUUUGGGCCCCCCCUAUUGCAAAAGCUAUAUCCCCAUCUGUCAUAAAACUCCCACAAUGCUUUGUUAGCUGGGGAUCUACUAUUUGCCCAUCCUUACAGCAUUGCACUUAGCACUGAGCACUUUUUGUUUGAAUGUAAGCAAAUGUGAGUGGAUGUAGGGGUGUAUUUAGAAACAUAGAAACAUAGAAUGUGACGGCAGAUAAGAACCAUUCAGCCCAUCUAGUCUGCCCAAUUUUCUAAAUACUUUCAUUAGUCCCUAGCCUUAUCUUAUAGUUAGGAUAGCCUUAUGCCUAUCCCACGCAUGCUUAAACUCCUUUACUAUGUUAACCUCUACCACUUCAGAUGGAAGGCUAUUCCAUGCAUCCACUACCCUCUCAGUAAAGUAAUACUUCCUGAUAUUAUUUUUAAACCUUUGUCCCUCUAAUUUAAGACUAUGUCCUCUUGUUGUGGUAGUUUUUCUUCUUUUAAAUAUAGUCUCCUCCUUUACUGUGUUGAUUCCUUUAUAUAUUUAAAUGUUUCUAUCAUAUCCCCCCUGUCUCGUCUUUCCUCCAAGCUAUACAUGUUAAGAUCCUUUAACCUUUCCUGGUAAGUUUUAUCCCGCAAUCCAUGAACCAGUUUAGUAGCCCUUCUUUGAACCCUCUCUAAAGGUAUCAAUAUCCUUCUGAAGAUACGGUCUCCAGUACUAUGUACAAUACUCCAAGUGAGGUCUCACCAGUGUUCUGUACAAUGGCAUGAGCACUUCCCUCUUUCUACUGCUAAUACCUCUCCCUAUACAACCAAGCAUUCUGCUAGCAUUUCCUGCUGCUCUAUUACAUUGUCUGCCUACCUUUAAGUCAUCAGAAAUAAUCACCCCUAAAUCCCUUUCCUCAUAUGUUGAGGUUAGGACUCUAUCAAAUAUUCUGUACUCUGCCCUUGGGUUUUUACGUCCAAGAUGCAUUAUCUUGCACUUAUCCACAUUAAAUGUCAGUUGCCACAAUUCUGACCAUUUUUCUAGUUUACCUAAAUCAUUUGUCAUUUGGCUUAUCCCUCCUGGAACAUCAACCCUGUUACAUAUCUUAGUAUCAUCAGCAAAAAGACAUACCUUACCAUCAAGACCUUCUGCAAUAUCACUAAUAAAAAUAUUAAAGAGAAUGGGUCCAAGUGCAGAUCCCUGAGGUACCCCACUGGUGACAAGUCCAAGCUUCGAAUAUAUUCCAUUAACUACAACCCUCUGUUGCCUUUCACUCAGCCACUGCCUUACCCAUUCAACAAUAUUGGAAUCCAAACUUAAAGUUUGCAGUUUAUUGAUAAGCCUUCUAUGUGCAACAGUGUCAAAAGCCUUACUGAAAUCUAGGUAAGCAAUGUCUACUGCACCACCCUGAUCUGUAAGUUACAUAGUUACAUGGCUGAAAAGAGACAUUUGUUCAUCAAGUUCAGCCUUUCAUCUGUUUUGUGCUUCCAAUUUUGCAACAAACUAAGAAAAAAAACACACCUUAUUGACCCCAGAAUGGCAGUCAGAUCUCUCCUUGGAUCAAGAAGCUUUUAUCCCACAAAGUAAAAAUAUUAUGUUUUUUGAAGUUAUUCAUCCAGUUGCUGUUUAAAAAUCUGUACAGAUUCUAAUAAAACCACCCCUUGAUGCAGAGAAUUCCAUAUCCUUAUUGUUCUUACAUUAAAACAACUUUUCCUUUGCCUUAUACUAAAUCUCCUUUCUUCCAGUCUAAAUGUGUGACUUUGUGUUCUAUGUAGAGUCCUGUUUAUGAAUAGAUUUCCAGACAAUGGUUUGUAUUAGCCCUGCAUAUAUUUACCUAAAGCUAGCAUAUCCCCUCUGAGGUGCUGUUUUUCUAAACUAAAGAUAUUUAAAUUUGAUAACCUUUCAUUAAAACUAAAAUGCUCCAUUCCACUUAAUAAUUUAGUAUCUUUAUAUAUUAAUUUUGUAUGUAUCUGUCAUCACAUUCUAUGUUUCUAUGGGUUUUUUAGUAGACUGCCUCUGUUCUUUUUCUUGUGUCGUAAUAUUCUUCUUUAGAACAGGUAUCCACAAUUGCACAGCAAGUUGUGGUUUUACCAGUGAUUUAUAAAGAGGCAAAAUUAUAGUUUCAUCCAAAAUGAAUGACCCUUUUUAUACAUGACAAUGGCUUAAAGGGAUUCUCCAGUGCCAGGAAAACAUAUUUGUUCUCCAGGCACUGCAGGACAAUCUAGUGCCCCUCUACCUCCCACCCCCCAUCCCAAGCUGCUGAAGGGGUUAAAACCCCUUUAGUGACUUACCGGAGUCCAGUGCCGAUGUCCCUCGGCACUGAGUCAGGCUCCUCCUACUUAUCUUCUAAUAUUUUACUGGCCUUUAUUGUACCAUGAUUUUGAAAUAUGGACUUAUAAUCAUGGCCUCUGUCUUAUAGCUUUAAAAAAAUAUAUUCUUCAGUGAAUUAUAAUUUUUUGUGUAAAUACAUUCUCUCUGAAAUCUGUGUUGCUGAAACUUUAGUUUGAUUUAUUUUGAUUUACUUGCUAGAAAGAAUUAAUAAAAUCUGGUUAACUUUUAAUAUUCUUCUUAUCAAUCUUCAGUGAAACAUUCUAAUGUUGGAAGUUAAUUUGUCAAAUUUCUUUAUUCUCUCCAGCAUUGCAUUCUGCAGGGAAAAAAUGAGAAAAGAAAAAUAAAGGCUGAGUCACAAGCAUAUUUAUCCAUCUUAGAGUUUACAUAAAGGCAAGACAUUCCUAAUAUCGUUCCAGAAAAAAGUGGUGGAGAUCGAAUAAACAUAUUUUUAUUGUUAAAGCUAAAUAUUGCAGUAUUUAUGUGAAAUGCAUUGGCAACGAUGCUUUAACCACUUUGCCUCAACAUGAACUAUGUCUUUUAUUUUCUAAAUCUACCCCCCUGUGG